rnacentral:lncRNA from 1 species
CCAACUGCCAAGAAGUCGGGUAUUUGUAUUCGCUGUGUAGAAAAAGAGCGUUUUUCAAAUAAUAAUAUUUUUUUAUUGAAGCAAUAAAAAAUAUUCAAAGUAUGGUAGUUUCAUGCAGUGCUUAUGGAUGUACGCAUCGGCAUGCGCCAGAUAAAAAUAUUUCUUUUCAUACGUUUCCUCUCAAGGAUACUGACCUUCUUGGCAAAUGGUUGCAUGCCAUGAAACGAAAAAAAUUUAUACCUACCAAAUAUUCAACACUCUGCAGCACACAUUUUAAAAAAGAAGACUUUCUGUUGAGACCAGGGAAGUCCAAACCCAGACUUAGCAAAAAUGCAGUGCCCUCAAUAUUUCCACAACUUCCAGAAUAUUAUCAACCAAAAUCCAAAAAACCAAGAAAUGUGAGGGAUGCUACUAAUCACAAGUAGUAGAGAACAAUGUAGGGAAUGGAGAAGAAUCAUCAAUAGCCAGCUCUCUAAGUGUUGAAGAAGAAUCUACAUCUCCACAAACACAACAAAAAGCAUCACAGACAAAAGACAAUUCAAGUGAAGUAGUAAGGAGAUUGAGAGUAAAAAUCAAGAGGCUCCAGCAGCAAUUGAGGAGGCGAAGUCAAAGGAUCAACACUUUGAAACAGUUAUUUUUUGAAUUGAAGAGUGAUCUAUAAUUUUUGUUUUAUUUUUCCCGUUCUUAUAAUAUGUAGUUAUAUAUUAUCUUAUAUUAAAUAUAGGAGUAUAGAGUAUAGUUAGGUAAAUAAAUAAAUAAAUAUCUUUAUUGUCACAGAAUGUUUACACAUUAUAGACAAUGUCAUGUUUGGUAACUCUAGUAAAUACAAGGCAAACAUGAGCCUGCAACAACAAGUACAUAAAGUCAAUUUUACAAAGUUCAAUACAUCCAUUACACUCUAAAUAAGGUAUCAAUUAUAUUUCCCAAUCAUUUAUCAACUACUUAUAUAUCAUUUAUCAUAUUGAUUAUAUAUACAUUUUCCAAUUUAUAGAAAAAUAGUCUGCUAUUUUAUAUGGGGUUUCUCCUAUUAAAGCUUCCUUUACUUUCAACUUAAAAGCACUUUUACAUAAAGAUCUUAUAGUGGCAGGCAAAUAGUUAUAAAGUUUCACCGCCAUAUAGGGGUUUAGUUUUUGAGAUGCACUGUGCUGAUAUCUAGAAACUCUUAAGCUAUUUUCAUUUCUUGUUGCACAAUUAUGGUGGUGUCUAUUCACAUCAAAUUUUUCAAUGUUAAAGUGUACAUAUACAACUGUGAAAUAAAUAUAGAGAGCUGGGAAUGUCAUCACUCUCAUUUUUUUAAACAAAGGUUUGCAGCUUUCUCGGUAUUCUGCAUUGCAUAGGAGCCUCAUUAUCUUUUUUUGCAACCUGAGAAUUUUAAUUGUCUCAGGAUUAUUCUCCCAGAUCAUAACACCUUAACAAAAGAGGCUCUGUACAUGAGCAUAAUAAACCUUGAGCAAUAUUUCAACUCCUACACAUGUUCUCAACCUUCUAAUAAGAUAAAGACCUUUUGAGACGUUCCUUAUUACAUAGUUAAUAUGAUGAUUCCAUGUCAGGUGUCUGUCAAUCCAGAUACCAAGAAACUUGAUUGCCACAGGGCAGCUACUGGGAUCAUCAUUUUUUCUAAACGUGAAAUAGAUAUCACUAAUUUUGUCCUCAUUCAAUGAAAGGUUAUUCGCCGAGCACCAAUCUUUUAAAUCAGUUGUGAAAUUGGAUAGAGCAUUUUCAACUUUAGAAUUUGUCUUACCUUUAACAUUUAAGCCAAAAUCAUCAGCAAACAAAAAGCCAGAAUUAGAUUCACUUGCAAUAGAGUCAGGAAGAUCAUUAAUGUAUAUAUUGAAGAGUAUAGGUCCCAAUGAAGACCCUUGAGGUACUCCAUAACUUAUGUGUCAACCUUUAGAAAGACUACCAUUUGUAUACACAAAUUGCAUUCUAUUGCUCAAGUAAGAUAAGAUGGUUUUAACUGAGGUCGUAUCUAAACCAUAAUGUUUAAGAAAACAACCUAUACUUAAGUUGCAAAACGAAUGGAAACAGUUUCACGAAAUUAUUGUGAUAACGGUUAAUUUAUUAUUAUUUGCCAUCUAAUAAAAUAUAUGGUAAUAUUA